rnacentral:rRNA from 1 species
CGGCGACGGGUGAGUAACACGUGGAUAACUUACCUAUAAGACUGGGAUAACUUCGGGAAACCGGAGCUAAUACCGGAUAAUAUAUUGAACCGCAUGGUUCAAUAGUGAAAGACGGUUUUGCUGUCACUUAUAGAUGGAUCCGCGCCGCAUUAGCUAGUUGGUAAGGUAACGGCUUACCAAGGCAACGAUGCGUAGCCGACCUGAGAGGGUGAUCGGCCACACUGGAACUGAGACACGGUCCAGACUCCUACGGGAGGCAGCAGGUC